GGGGAUGUAGCUCAGUGGUAGAGCGCUUGCCUAGCAAGCACAGGGCCCUGGGUUCGAUUCUCAGCUAUCUUCA